rnacentral:rRNA from 1 species
UACGGAGGGUGCGAGCGUUGUUCGGAAUCAUUGGGCGUAAAGCGCGUGUAGGCGGCCUUUUAAGUCUGGUGUGAAAUCCCGGGGCUCAACCCCGGAAGUGCAUCGGAUACUGGGAGGCUGGAGUACCGGAGAGGAGGGUGGAAUUCCUGGUGUAGCGGUGAAAUGCGUAGAUAUCAGGAGGAACACCGGUGGCGAAGGCGACCCUCUGGACGGAUACUGACGCUGAGACGCGAAAGCGUGGGGAGCAAAC